CUUGUACACACCGCCCGUCAAGCCAUGGAAGCUGGGGGUACCUGAAGUCGGUGACCGCAAGGAGCUGCCUAGGGUAAAACUGGUAACUAGGGCUAAGUCGUAACAAGGUAGCCGUACCGGAAGG
rnacentral:rRNA from 2 species